AAAUUGAAGAGUUUGAUCAUGGCUCAGAUUGAACGCUGGCGGCAGGCCUAACACAUGCAAGUCGAACGGUAACAGGAAGCAGCUUGCUGCUUCGCUGACGAGUGGCGGACGGGUGAGUAAUGUCUGGGAAACUGCCUGAUGGAGGGGGAUAACUACUGGAAACGGUGGCUAAUACCGCAUAACGUCGCAAGACCAAAGAGGGGGACCUUCGGGCCUCUUGCCAUCAGAUGUGCCCAGAUGGGAUUAGCUUGUUGGUGAGGUAACGGCUCACCAAGGCGACGAUCCCUAGCUGGUCUGAGAGGAUGACCAGCCACACUGGAACUGAGACACGGUCCAGACUCCUACGGGAGGCAGCAGUGGGGAAUAUUGCACAAUGGGCGCAAGCCUGAUGCAGCCAUGCCGCGUGUAUGAAGAAGGCCUUCGGGUUGUAAAGUACUUUCAGCGGGGAGGAAGGUGUUGCGGUUAAUAACCGCAGCAAUUGACGUUAC
rnacentral:rRNA from 1 species